rnacentral:rRNA from 1 species
AUUGAACGCUGGCGGCAUGCCUUACACAUGCAAGUCGAACGGUAACAGGUCUUCGGAUGCUGACGAGUGGCGAACGGGUGAGUAAUACAUCGGAACGUGCCCGAUCGUGGGGGAUAACGAAGCGAAAGCUUUGCUAAUACCGCAUAAGAUCUACGGAUGAAAGCAGGGGACCGCAAGGCCUUGCGCGAACGGAGCGGCCGAUGGCAGAUUAGGUAGUUGGUGGGAUAAAAGCUUACCAAGCCGACGAUCUGUAGCUGGUCUGAGAGGACGACCAGCCACACUGGGACUGAGACACGGGCCCAGACUCCUACGGGGAGGCAGCAGUGGGGAAUUUUUGGACAAUGGGCGAAAGCCUGAUCCAGCCAUGCCGCGUGCAGGAUGAAGGCCUUCGGGUUGUAAACUGCUUUUGUACGGAACGAAAAGACUCUGGUUAAUACCUGGGGUCCAUGACGGUACCGUAAGAAUAAGCACCGGCUAACUACGUGCC